GACGAACGCUGGCGGCGUGCUUAACACAUGCAAGUCGAACGGUGAAGGGGUCUGCUUUUGUGGGCCCUGGAUGAGUGGCGAACGGGUGAGUAACACGUGAGUAACCUGCCCCCUUCUUCUGGAUAACCGCAUGAAAGUGUGGCUAAUACGGGAUAUUCUGGGUCUGUCGCAUGAUGGGUCUGGGAAAGAUUGCGCCUUUGGGUGUUUUUGGUGGGGGAUGGGCUCGCGGCCUAUCAGCUUGUUGGUGGGGUGAUGGCCUACCAAGGCGGUGACGGGUAGCCGGCCUGAGAGGGUGGACGGUCACACUGGGACUGAGACACGGCCCAGACUCCUACGGGAGGCAGCAGUGGGGAAUAUUGCACAAUGGGCGCAAGCCUGAUGCAGCGACGCCGCGUGAGGGAUGGAGGCCUUCGGGUUGUAAACCUCUUUCGCCAGUGAAGCAGGCCUGCUCCUUGUGAGUGGGUUGACGGUAGCUGGAUAAGAAGCGCCGGCUAACUACGUG
rnacentral:rRNA from 1 species